AAACCUAAAACUCCAUUAUUUCUCCGCCACCUUCCCGUGCGAGAGUUUUAUGUCAAACGUCUCACACCAACUUCAUCAUCUUCUCUCCGUUAUUAUUCUCCUCUAGCACAUCUUCUCUUGCACUCGUGUUUGUCUCGUUGUCUCAUGGAAUAGUGGAUUCCAUAUCCGCCGCCGUUCAUCACAUCCUCCAUAGCCACCAUCACGCCUUGAUCACUACCGGAGAUAGCCUUGCGAUCGGAGAUGUCGUCGCUUGCAUGCGGAGGUACACUAGCCCGUGAUGUGGAGGAGAGACAAACGCACCCGUCGUAUUGCGUCACCGUCACCGUCACCCAUCACACUAGAGAUCUGAGAUGUCAUUGUACGAGUCGCCGACAGCCAUAUCGGAUUUACCCGAGUGUGUUUGAUCGUGACAUGUACUUCAGACCAAGGUUCCCCCUUCUCUUAUUUGAUCAAACGUGAGCCCAUGUGUAUGAUUUAAGUGCACUCCUCAUGUUUCUUGCGAAUUAUGUUUCCUUAAAACCCUAUUUUUAAUUAUUUAAUAAUUAUGUAUUUUGUCUUGUCUUGUUUCCGUUUCAUUCCAAUUUGUCGAGAGAUUGAGACUCGAGAUCCAUGGCAAUAUCCUAGCUUUCUUGCUAAUCAAGUUAUCUCAUUUAUUGUUGGAGCCAUUUCCGGUUUUCCGAUAAGGCAAAGGUGAGGGUCUUUUCUCGAGCUUCUCUUACACGGCUUAGUACCACAUUCUGUCCGGGUCCAUGGACUUUGGGUUUAGUAUCCCAUACCUCACUGAGUGACUCCCCUGUUACUCACCCCUCUUUCUUUCCCAUUUCAGAUGAGACAGAUGAGUAUAUGAUAUUUGGACGGAUUGGUGCUAUUGGACUUUUUAUUCAUAUUUUUAUUUGGGCUUUGGGUCAAUGUAAUUGGGUAUAUGGACUUUUAUUAUACGAAAUAUUGUUGGUGGCCCGCUGUUCUCCGGAGUGGAGGCGACGGGUGUUAUAGUGCAAUAAUGGAAAACAAAUCCAUUCACUAAGUAAUCGUUUCAAAAGCUCCAGCCGCAUGAUCCGAGACAAAGUUUCUAAUAUAUAAAUGAAAUUGAUUCUUAGGAACUUUAUAUUAGUUCUGACAAAAAAAAAAGAACUUUAUAUUUAUGGUCACGCCAUAAAAUUGUACACGGUGUAUCCCCCUAUACAUUAAAAGAGAAGUCACUUUAGUGAUUUCUGCUGAGGUGACACUCAUAUAGAGCUUCUCAGGAAAAACGUUUUAAUUCUAUUGGUUGAAUUUUUGGAAUUUUUCUUUUUGAUUUAUUUUUUCACUCCCUUUCGCGUAAUUAAAAACGC
rnacentral:lncRNA from 1 species